UCCUACGGGAGGCAGCAGUAGGGAAUCUUGCACAAUGGAGGAAACUCUGAUGCAGCGAUGCCGCGUGAGUGAAGAAGGCCCUUGGGUUGUAAAGCUCUUUCGUCGGGGAAGAAAAUGACUGUACCCGAAUAAGAAGGUCCGGCUAACUUCGUGCCAGCAGCCGCGGUAAUACGAAGGGACCUAGCGUAGUUCGGAAUUACUGGGCUUAAAGAGUUCGUAGGUGGUUGAAAAAGUUAGUGGUGAAAUCCCAGAGCUUAACUCUGGAACUGCCAUUAAAACUUUUCAGCUAGAGUAUGAUAGAGGAAAGCAGAAUUUCUAGUGUAGAGGUGAAAUUCGUAGAUAUUAGAAAGAAUACCAAUUGCGAAGGCAGCUUUCUGGAUCAUUACUGACACUGAGGAACGAAAGCAUGGGUAGCGAAGAGGAUUAGAUACCCUCGUAGUCCAUGCCGUAAACGAUGUGUGUUAGACGUUGGAAAUUUAUUUUCAGUGUCGCAGCGAAAGCGAUAAACACACCGCCUGGGGAGUACGACCGCAAGGUUAAAACUCAAAUGAAUUGACGG
rnacentral:rRNA from 1 species